UGUUUCUCUCUCUCUGACCCUCCAUGUCUUCCCAUCUUCUCAUGAAAGCUUUUCUUCUCAUUAUCUUCUAUAGCUUUCUCCCAUGGUUUAACCUGACUCACUGAUGACAAGAGCAGCAUGAAACUGUUGACCGGAGCAGCCACAACAACAAAUUUGUAGAACUCAAGAUCCGACUCAAGAUCUCACACGCCGGACCACCUCUCUCGCUGGAUCAGUCCUCUCGCCGCCACGCAAGAUCUCUCUCUCUCCCGUGCCUCUCUCUCUCUCUGUCUCUCUCGCCGGACCUCUCUCUCGCUGGACCUCUCUCUCUCGCCGUCAUUUCCGUAAUUAGGUAGUUCUUGGAUAUGAACAUGGUGUUCUUCGGAACACUAAUCCAAGAUAUGUACGCCAAAGAGAGUUUGCGUUGAAGAAUUUGCCUGAUGACCCUCUUUUCCAGCUGAUAUUUUUGUUUUUCUUUCUUUCUUUUGCUUUCUUAUAUAAACUCUUGCAUUGUGGGCAGUGGCUAACAGAACCUUCAUCUCUAUAGGUUUCAAAGCUUUAUGAAGUUGUGCCUCCUGUUCUCACCAAACUCAGAAAGGCACUACACGGUUCUCUUUUGGUGUCUAAAUGAGUCUUGCUAUCUGCUCUCAGAUAAUAUGGGACAGAGCUCUUGGACUUGGACUUGAGAGGCCAAAGAGUGUUACAAUGGAUUGGCUUGAAGCCUACUGUAAGAAAGC